CUGUGUGAAAAUAAUAUAUCUCGAUUACAGAGGUGGUCAAAUCAUCCACCCAAACUGGUCAAAGGUCUUUCCUCAGUUAGUUCCACAGAUUGUAGAAAGAGCUCUAAGCUUGCCUGAACCAAGGAGGAGCCAUCUAGUCAGCCAACGAUUCAACUCAAGUACUUACGAAUAAGAUGGGACGCUCCAUGGGCAUGGGGAUAGAGGUAUAAAGCAUGAUGGUGUUUCAAGCAUACCAACCAGUGAUGAGGGAUCGAUAAUUGGAAAUUCGAGUGAUUCAGUGGCGAUUGCCAUACAGCAAUUAAUCCGAAGCACGCCUGAUCUGAGGCCUGAGUGUUGCAUCUACAAUGUCCCGGAGAGAUUUCGCAAGGGGAAUGAAGAAGUCUACAAACCUCGUGUAGUCGCAAUCGGACCUUAUCACGUCAAAGAUACAAGCUAUGCCAUGUGUAAGCCCAAAUACGUGGACACCUUUUUCUGCCGGAACAAGCUCAACUUGGACCAUUGUCU